rnacentral:rRNA from 1 species
AUUGAACGCUGGCGGCAGGCCUAACACAUGCAAGUCGAGCGGGGUUUUCGGACCUAGCGGCGGACGGGUGAGUAAUGCGUAGGAAGCUACCCGAUAGAGGGGGAUACCAGUUGGAAACGACUGUUAAUACCGCAUAAUGUCUACGGACCAAAGUGUGGGACCUUCGGGCCACAUGCUAUCGGAUGCGCCUACGUGGGAUUAGCUAGUUGGUGAGGUAAUGGCUCACCAAGGCGACGAUCUCUAGCUGGUUUGAGAGGAUGAGCAGCCACACUGGAACUGAGACACGGUCCAGACUCCUACGGGAGGCAGCAGUGGGGAAUAUUGGACAAUGGGCGCAAGCCUGAUCCAGCCAUGCCGCGUGUGUG